GGAUAACUUACCCUUAGGACUGGGAUAACUCUGGGAAACUGGGGAUAAUACUGGAUAUUAGGCUAUGCCUGGAAUGGUUUGCCUUUGAAAUGUUUUUUUUCGCCUAAGGAUAGGUCUGCGGCUGAUUAGGUCGUUGGUGGGGUAAUGGCCCACCAAGCCGAUGAUCGGUACGGGUUGUGAGAGCAAGGGCCCGGAGAUGGAACCUGAGACAAGGUUCCAGACCCUACGGGGUGCAGCAGGCGCGAAACCUCCGCAAUGUACGAAAGUGCGACGGGGGGAUCCCAAGUGUUAUGCUUUGUUGUAUGACUUUUCAUUAGUGUAAAAAGCUUUUAGAAUAAGAGCUGGGCAAGACCGGUGCCAGCCGCCGCGGUAACACCGGCAGCUCGAGUGGUAGCUGUUUUUAUUGGGCCUAAAGCGUUCGUAGCCGGUUUGAUAAGUCUUUGGUGAAAGCUUGUAGCUUAACUAUAAGAAUUGCUGGAGAUACUAUUAGACUUGAAGUCGGGAGAGGUUAGAGGUACUACCGGGGUAGGGGUGAAAUCCUAUAAUCCUGGGAGGACCACCUGUGGCGAAGGCGUCUAACUGGAACGAUCUUGACGGUGAGUAACGAAAGCCAGGGGCGCGAACCGGAUUAGAUACCCGGGUAGUCCUGGCCGUAAACGAUGUGGACUUGGUGUUGGAAUGGCUUU
rnacentral:rRNA from 1 species